GACAGACAGAAUACUUUGGGAUGGAAAGUUGCUCCUAAAACAUGGGGCAGAAAAUGCAUCUUGAAGGAAAAUGAUGCAAUUUUAGGGUCUUAUUAUUUGUCCCUUAAUAUCAUUGUUGGUUGUUUGGUCUAGACUAAUCUGUAUCAAUAUCCAUUCCGCAAUCAAUGUUGGCUGUGAAAAGUAAGGCACAAACUUCAACUGUUAUCUAAAAGUAUGAUUUAAUUGGCCAGAAUUUCUCCCCAUGCCGGUCCCUCUCUGUGUAAGUUUUGUUGAAAAUAUUAAAUGUCUUUUGGAAGCUCAUGAUUGAUGGUGUUACUUAUCAUCUUAUGCUG
rnacentral:misc_RNA from 1 species